rnacentral:lncRNA from 1 species
UUUUGGACCCUUUGGACCUUAAUGUAGACCAAUUUGAAAACGGGACCAAAAAUUAAGAAUCUUCAUACAUAGUUAGAUUCGGCAUAUCAAAGAACCCCAAUUAUUCAAUUUUUGAUGAAAUCACACAAAGUUCAAUUUUGGACCCUUUGGGCCCCUUAUUCCUAAACUGUUGGGACCAAAACUCCCAAAAUCAAACCCAACCUUCCUUUUAUGGUCAUAAACCUUGUGUUUAAAUUUCAUAGAUUUCUAUUUACUUAUACUAAAGUUAUGGUGCAAAAACCAAGAAUAAUGCUUAUUUGGGCCCUUUUUUGGCUCUUAAUUCCUAAACUGUUGAAACCAAAACUCCCAAAAUCAAUCCCAACCGUCCUUUUGUGGUCAUAAACCUUGUGUCAAAAUUUCAUAGAUUUCUAUUCACUUAAACUAAAGUUAUAGUGCGAAAACCAAGAAAAUGCUUAUUUGGGCCCUUUUUGGCCCUUAAUUCCUAAAAUGUUGGGACCAAAACUCCCAAAAUCAAUCCCAACCUUCCUUUUGUGGUCAUAAACCUUGUGUUAAAAUUUCAUUGAUUUCUAUACACUUUUACUAAAGUUAGAGUGCGAAA